UACGGAGGGUGCAAGCGUUAUCCGGAUUCAUUGGGUUUAAAGGGUGCGCAGGUGGGAAAAUAAGUCAGUGGUGAAAUACUGCCGCUCAACGGUAGGGCUGCCAUUGAUACUGUUUUUCUUGAGUAUGGUUGAGGUAGGUGGAAUGUGUUGUGUAGCGGUGAAAUGCAUAGAUAUGACACAGAACGCCGAUUGCGAAGGCAACUUACUAAGCCAUUACUGACGCUGAGGCACGAAAGCGUGGGUAGCGAACAGG
rnacentral:rRNA from 1 species